UUUCUCCACAUAGAUACAGGUGUUCGUGUGGGGUAUGUUUCUCCACAUAGAUACAGGUGUUAGUGUAGGGUAUGUUUCUCCACAUAGAUACAGGUGUUAGUGUGGGGUAUGUUUCUCCACAUAGAUACAGGUGUUAGCGUGGGGUAUGUUUCUCCACAUAGAUACAGGGAACAUUCAAAAUGAGUCAGGCUAGCAAGCAAGCCAGUGGGUGCAAGCAGCAAGCUGACCCGAGAAGUGGUUGGCUGGUCGGUCGCUAGGUGUUGCCAACAUGAGGAAUUCAUUCCAUUGGCCGGGCAGGAAGUGACAGACUCCAGAUGACUCCCACGACAACAACACAACUUGUUGUCGCCGUGCAGCGCGAAAAGUGUAGCCUGGUCCCAGAUCUGUUUGUGCCCUCUUGCCAGCUUUGUGACAAUGACCAAACAGAUCUGGGACCAGGCUCCACUUUUCCUGUCUGACAUUGUCGCCGUGCGCUGCCGUGCGGCGCCACAACAAGUAGUGUUGAAUUAGAUGAGGUCAGUUUGAGUGUGAAAACCUCUUAAGUAAGCAUGAUUGCACACAUUUCAGUUGAAAUAUUAGUGUGGGUGGGGAAACCACUUACCGUAUACUCACCACUUUUAGUCAUUUUAGGAUUCAAAUUUUGAUUAGAAGCCAGUCAGAUGUCUCUUAUGCAAUAACUCAGUGCUUUCUGUUUUCACUUUUUUGAAUUCCCCGUGACCCUAUCUUGAAUUUCAUGGCCGUUCCACUAAUGAUAAGUAAUCAAUACAUUUAUCAGUACGUUUCAUGUCUUCUUGAGACCCAGUUCCUCAACAGCUGACGUCGGUCUAAUCCACUACUGUGUGAGAAUUGAGGAAAAAAUAAAAAGCUUUAAUAUGAAUUUCUCAGUCAUAGCCAAGGAUGAAUCUCAUUGGAAGGUUUUGUCUGACUCCAGUCCUUUAUGUUCUCACUGCCAGACAAUGUGCUUCCACUCUGGACAGACACUCAGGCAACAACUCAGCUUAGUUUGGAAAGGGAAAAACCCCACACAUCAUGCAGCAGAGCACGUGCAGCCCUC
rnacentral:lncRNA from 1 species